GCACAUGGCAUUAUCUCAUUCUUUUUUAUGGCUGAGCCCUAUCCCACUGUAUGUAUGUACCACAUCUUCUUUAUCCAUCAUGGGAAUAUGUUGACGUGAGGGUUGUUAAAACUAUAGUGAAACUGUAGCGGAGAAGGCUGUGUGAAAGCCAGACCACGGAGAAUGGGAAGUUCAUUUCCCUCCCAACUGCCCACCAGCCAACCGCAGAGCGCCGGCAGCACAUACCUCCUGACGUUGGAACCUCACGGGGGUCGUAGGUCUACCUCUCCUGCCUUCCCGCUUCCCAGGCCCUGAGACCACCUGCAUUCUCCAGACAGGUCAGCUGUUUGUUUGUUUGUGUAAAGGCUUUGAUUCUGCCACGUGUGCAAAGGAAGCCCAGUUCUCUGGGACUCAAAGCACAGUUUGCCCCCUUGAGGGAGUGGGCGGCGUGGAGGAGAGGACGAAUUCUUUUUCUCUCUUUUUAAACAGCAGUAAUAACAACAACAACAAAAUAAUAACUCUGUAAAUUGUCCUGCUAGGCAGAGAGGAUCCUCCCCCUUUCAAAAAGACUCUGAUACGCAUGUUUUUGUGUUUUUUUAUCCUGGAGAGUCAGCAGGCAAAGGUACAAUGAACCCCACGUAGGAUCUCCUUCCUCGGCAGCCAUCGGCUCAGGGCUGAUCCUGUCUCCAUCUACUGGUAUCACCUCCCCCUCAUUAUUCUGCAACAAAUGCGAGACAUCAUUUCAUUUCAUCCAUAAUUUUUCAGCAUGUAUAUUUAAAAGAUAAGGAUUCUUAAAAAAAAAAAACACAACCACAAUACUAUUAUCACCCCUCAAGAAUUAUAAUCGCUUAAUAUUAUCAAUUAUCCAGUGUUCAAAUGAUCAGUUUUCCCACAAACGUGAUGAGUGGCUUUUAGAAAAACAGUUUAUUUGAAUUAGAAGUCAAAUGAGAUUGAUUGCAUUGUGAUUGGCUGGUAUGUUUUUAAAGUUUCCUUUGACAUUUAGUUUUCACCUCCAGACUUCUUUUUUCUUGACACUUAAUUAUUGAAGGAACCAAGCUGUCCUGGAUUUUGCUGGUUGCACCCUCUGGUAUACACGUAGUUGAACGUGUUCCUCUGACUUCUGCAACUGGUAAAUUGGCUGUUGGAUCUAGGCUUGAUCAAAUUCAGCUUUGAUGGGGGGGGCGGGGCAAGAUGACUUUUUAGGUGUUAUGUCCUUCCAUCAGGAAGUAUGUGGUAUCUGGUUGUCUGUCUAUGAUGUCAGUGCUGUUAUUGAUGAAUGCUGGGUUUAUUAAUACAUCAGGGGCUGUGAAAUGGUGAUAAUCUAAUUCUGUCAUUCUUUCUUCACUUAUCAGUUGAAACUGUUCUUUAAAGAAAGAUAUUCCUCAUCUACUCUUCAGUUACCCUGUGGUACAGUCCUGUAAGAAAGAUACAGAGACAUCUGUCACUUAGAACAUCGCAUGAAAAGCUUCCAGGCUAGUUCCUGGGAUGGGAAGGCCCCUAGAAGCUGAUACAUGAACUGUGUGGAAUAACGCAAUCUCGGUGGAUUACAGGUGCUGUCUGCUCUGUUGUCUCCAUUCUGCUGAGGGUCGGCAGAAAGUGGGGUGAUGCCAUCUUGCCCCCAUCCCUGUCACACUGUCAUCUCCCCCAGCGCACCAACCCCCUGCACCACCCAGGCUCACCAAAGACGAUGAGGCCUUUCUAUUCUGGAAAAUGAGAAUUCUCAGAAGACCAACAGAAGCGCAUGUAGAAAAUAACUGAAAUUACUGGUUAUCAGGAGAGAUGAUGACCUGAAAGAGAAAGAAGAUGUGGGAGGCGAGUGGAUAGGAAGAGGGCUAAGAUUCUCUACUGACGUGAUGAGUAGUUUCUUGCUUAUUUCCUGUGGCUUUUGCUCCAAAUGAGAGGUUUCAGCUCCCACACGGUGAAGUGUGCAUUAUAAACCUGGUAUUCAUCACGGGGGACUUUCAGGGGGGAGGUCCAGAGGUGCCACUGGCAUGAUGAAGCGAGGUUAGGAAUAGUGGGACCCAAACCAGAAAGAAACAGUAAGAAGCAGAAAAAAAACAGAAAGGCAGA